rnacentral:rRNA from 1 species
AGAGUUUGAUCCUGGCUCAGAAUCAACGCUGGCGGCGUGCCUAACACAUGCAAGUCGAACGAGAAAGUGGAGCAAUCCAUGAGUACAGUGGCGACCGGGUGAGUAACACGUGACUACCUACCCUUGAGUGGGGGAUAACCUCGGGAAACCGAGGCUAAUACCGCAUAAUAUCGUCGUUGAAUAAACGGCGAUCAAAGGAGUGAUCCGCUUUUGGAGGGGGUCGCGGCUGAUUAGCUAGUUGGUAGGGUAAUGGCCUACCAAGGCGAAGAUCGGUAUCCGGCCUGAGAGGGCGCACGGACACACUGGAACUGAAACACGGUCCAGACUCCUACGGGAGGCAGCAGUGGGGAAUUUUGCGCAAUGGGGGAAACCCUGACGCAGCAACGCCGCGUGGAGGAUGAAGCCCCUUGGGGUGUAAACUCCUUUCGACCGGGAAAAUAA